UAACGUCAUAAAUAUCCUGCAUCGCACAUCUGAAGUUUACAUGCGAUGCAGGAUAUUUAUGACGU
rnacentral:pre_miRNA from 1 species